rnacentral:rRNA from 1 species
GAUGAACGCUGGCGGCGUGCCUAAUACAUGCAAGUCGAGCGAACAGAUGAGGAGCUUGCUCCUCUGACGUUAGCGGCGGACGGGUGAGUAACACGUGGAUAACCUACCUAUAAGACUGGGAUAACUUCGGGAAACCGGAGCUAAUACCGGAUAAUAUAUUGAACCGCAUGGUUCAAUAGUGAAAGACGGUUUUGCUGUCACUUAUAGAUGGAUCCGCGCCGCAUUAGCUAGUUGGUAAGGUAACGGCUUACCAAGGCAACGAUGCGUAGCCGACCUGAGAGGGGGAUGGCCACACUGGAACUGAGACACGGUCCAGACUCCUACGGGAGGCAGCAGUAGGGAAUCUUCCGCAAUGGGCGAAAGCCUGACGGAGCAACGCCGCGUGAGUGAUGAAGGUCUUCGGAUCGUAAAACUCUGUUAUUAGGGAAGAACAAAUGUGUAAGUAACUAUGCACGUCUUGACGGUACCUAAUCAGAAAGCCACGGCUAACUACGUG